CCCAAUCAGACUGGAUGGGAGGCAGCUGAGAAAUGAACAUAUUACUGAGGAGGUUAGGUAGUGACAGAUACCUGAUGCCAGUUUCAUCAGUCAGCUGGGGACGACAAGUGAAUUGAAUUCCCCCAAAGUGCCUGUCCAUUUCCUGUCUGUGUGCGACGAGCAGCGAGGCUGCUGGGAGAAGCUCAGAUUCACUCUGUCUUUCAAUGCAUUUUACACACUUACAAAACGUGACA